rnacentral:rRNA from 1 species
UACGUAGGGUGCAAGCGUUGUCCGGAAUUAUUGGGCGUAAAGAGCUCGUAGGCGGUUUGUCGCGUCGAAUGUGAAAACCCGGGGCUCAACCCCGGGCCUGCAUUCGAUACGGGCAGACUAGAGUUCGGUAGGGGAGUCUGGAAUUCCUGGUGUAGCGGUGAAAUGCGCAGAUAUCAAGUGGAACACCAGUGGCGAAGGCGAGUCUCUGGACAUUUCCUGACGCUGAGGCACGAAAGCCAGGGGAGCAAACGGG